ACAGCUUUGCUGGUAAAGCAUGAGACUCUUAAUCUUGGGGUUGUGGGUUUGAGUCCCACCUUGGGCA